rnacentral:rRNA from 1 species
AACGUAGGAGGCAAGCGUUAUCCGGAAUUACUGGGCGUAAAGGGCGUCUAGGCGGUAGGGCAAGCGGGAUGUGAAAGCUCCUGGCUCAACUGGGAGAGUGCGUUCCGAACUGCCGAACUAGAGGCCAGGCGAUGGGGGUGGAAUUCCCGGUGGAGUGGUGAAAUGCGUAGAGAUCGGGAGGAACACCAGUGGCGCAAGCGGCCCCCAAGCCUGAGCCUGACGCUGAAGCGCGACAGCGUGGGGAGCAAACGGG